rnacentral:rRNA from 1 species
UAACUGGGCGUUAAGUUGCAGGGUAUAGACCCGAAACCCGGUGAUCUAGCCAUGGGCAGGUUGAAGGUUGGGUAACACUAACUGGAGGACCGAACCGACUAAUGUUGAAAAAUUAGCGGAUGACUUGUGGCUGGGGGUGAAAGGCCAAUCAAACCGGGAGAUAGCUGGUUCUCCCCGAAAGCUAUUUAGGUAGCGCCUCGUGAAUUCAUCUCCGGGGGUAGAGCACUGUUUCGGCAAGGGGGUCAUCCCGACUUACCAACCCGAUGCAAACUGCGAAUACCGGAGAAUGUUAUCACGGGAGACACACGGCGGGUGCUAACGUCCGUCGUGAAGAGGGAAACAACCCAGACCGCCAGCUAAGGUCCCAAAGUCAUGGUUAAGUGGGAAACGAUGUGGGAAGGCCCAGACAGCCAGGAUGUUGGCUUAGAAGCAGCCAUCAUUUAAAGAAAGCGUAAUAGCUCACUGGUCGAGUCGGCCUGCGCGGAAGAUGUAACGGGGCUAAACCAUGCACCGAAGCUGCGGCAGCGACGCUUAUGCGUUGUUGGGUAGGGGAGCGUUCUGUAAGCCUGUGAAGGUGUGCUGUGAGGCAUGCUGGAGGUAUCAGAAGUGCGAAUGCUGACAUAAGUAACGAUAAAGCGGGUGAAAAGCCCGCUCGCCGGAAGACCAAGGGUUCCUGUCCAACGUUAAUCGGGGCAGGGUGAGUCGACCCCUAAGGCGAGGCCGAAAGGCGUAGUCGAUGGGAAACAGGUUAAUAUUCCUGUACUUGGUGUUACUGCGAAGGGGGGACGGAGAAGGCUAUGUUGGCCGGGCGACGGUUGUCCCGGUUUAAGCGUGUAGGCUGGUUUUCCAGGCAAAUCCGGAAAAUCAAGGCUGAGGCGUGAUGACGAGGCACUACGGUGCUGAAGCAACAAAUGCCCUGCUUCCAGGAAAAGCCUCUAAGCAUCAGGUAACAUCAAAUCGUACCCCAAACCGACACAGGUGGUCAGGUAGAGAAUACCAAGGCGCUUGAGAGAACUCGGGUGAAGGAACUAGGCAAAAUGGUGCCGUAACUUCGGGAGAAGGCACGCUGAUAUGUAGGUGAAGUCCCUCGCGGAUGGAGCUGAAAUCAGUCGAAGAUACCAGCUGGCUGCAACUGUUUAUUAAAAACACAGCACUGUGCAAACACGAAAGUGGACGUAUACGGUGUGACGCCUGCCCGGUGCCGGAAGGUUAAUUGAUGGGGUCAGCGCAAGCGAAGCUCUUGAUCGAAGCCCCGGUAAACGGCGGCCGUAACUAUAACGGUCCUAAGGUAGCGAAAUUCCUUGUCGGGUAAGUUCCGACCUGCACGAAUGGCGUAAUGAUGGCCAGGCUGUCUCCACCCGAGACUCAGUGAAAUUGAACUCGCUGUGAAGAUGCAGUGUACCCGCGGCAAGACGGAAAGACCCCGUGAACCUUUACUAUAGCUUGACACUGAACAUUGAGCCUUGAUGUGUAGGAUAGGUGGGAGGCUUAGAAGUGUGGACGCCAGUCUGCAUGGAGCCGACCUUGAAAUACCACCCUUUAAUGUUUGAUGUUCUAACGUUGACCCGUAAUC